UGGUAGCAACAAGGCAAACUC
rnacentral:piRNA from 1 species